UACGGGGGGAGCAAGCGUUGUUCGGAUUUACUGGGCGUAAAGGGCGCGUAGGCGGCACCGCAAGUCGACUGUGAAAUCUCCGGGCUUAACUCGGAAAGGUCAGCCGAUACUGCGGGGCUAGAGUGCAGAAGGGGCAACUGGAAUUCUCGGUGUAGCGGUGAAAUGCGUAGAUAUCGAGAGGAACACCUGCGGCGAAGGCGGGUUGCUGGGCUGACAUUGACGCUGAGGAGCGAAAGCUAGGGGAGCAAACGGG
rnacentral:rRNA from 1 species